rnacentral:rRNA from 1 species
UACGGAGGGGACUAGCGUUGUUCGGAAUUACUGGGCGUAAAGCGCACGUAGGCGGAUUUGUAAGUCAGGGGUGAAAUCCCGGGGCUCAACCCCGGAACUGCCUUUGAUACUGGGUAUCUCGAGUCCGGAAGAGGUGAGUGGAAUUCCGAGUGUAGAGGUGAAAUUCGUAGAUAUUCGGAGGAACACCAGUGGCGAAGGCGGCUCACUGGUCCGGUACUGACGCUGAGGUGCGAAAGCGUGGGGAGCAAACAGG